rnacentral:rRNA from 1 species
GAUGAACGCUGGCGGCGUGCCUAAUACAUGCAAGUCGAACGCGGGCAGCAAUGCUCGAGUGGCGAACGGGUGAGUAAUACAUAAGUAACCUGCCCUGUACAGGGGGAUAACUAUUGGAAACGAUAGCUAAGACCGCAUAGGUAUAGACACUGCAUGGUGACUAUAUUAAAAGUGCUACGGCACUGGUAGAGGAUGGACUUAUGGCGCAUUAGCUAGUUGGUGAGGUAACGGCUCACCAAGGCGACGAUGCGUAGCCGACCUGAGAGGGUGACCGGCCACACUGGGACUGAGACACGGCCCAGACUCCUACGGGAGGCAGCAGUAGGGAAUUUUCGGCAAUGGGGGGAACCCUGACCGAGCAACGCCGCGCGAAGGAGGAAGGUCUUCGGACUGUAAACUUCUGUUAUAAAGGAAGAAAGACGGAUAAAGGGAAUGAUAUCCGAGUGACGGUACUUUAUGAGGAAGCCACGGCUAACUACGUGCCAGCAGCCGCGGUAAUACGUAGGUGGCAAGCGUUAUC